UACGUAGGUGGCGAGCGUUGUCCGGGUUUACUGGGCGUAAAGGGAGCGUAGGCGGACUUUUAAGUGAGAUGUGAAAUACUCGGGCUCAACUUGAGUGCUGCAUUUCAAACUGGAAGUCUAGAGUGCAGGAGAGGAGAAUGGAAUUCCUAGUGUAGCGGUGAAAUGCGUAGAGAUUAGGAAGAACACCAGUGGCGAAGGCGAUUCACUGGACUGUAACUGACGCUGAGGCUCGAAAGCGUGGGGAGCAAACAGG
rnacentral:rRNA from 1 species